rnacentral:tRNA from 1 species
CCCCUCUUAGCUCAAUUGGUAGAGCGUUCGGCUGUAGACCGAAAGGUUGCUGGUUCGAGUCUGGCAGAGGGGA